CACGCCUUAAACGAUGUCAACUAGGUUGUAGAGGUUCUGACGCCGUUACAGCCGAAGCAAAAGUGUUAAGUUGACCGCCUGGGGAGUACGGUCGCAAGGCUAAAACUCAAAGGAAUUGACGGGGGCUCACACAAGCGGUGGAGCAUGUGGAUUAAUUCGAAGCAACGCGCAGAACCUUACCUGGGUUUGACAUGUACGGAUGCUGCCCUGGAAACAGGACCAGUUACCGCAAGGUGAAACGUACACAGGUGCUGCAUGGCUGUCGUCAGCUCGUGUCGUGAGAUGUCGGGUUAGGUCCUUUAACGAGCGAAACCCCUGCCGUUAGUUACCAGCGGGUCAUGCCGGGAACUCUAGCGGGACUGCCGGUGUUAAACCG
rnacentral:rRNA from 1 species